CAUGCCCAGCCUGUUGGGAGCUCCACCCUACUCUGGCCUGGGCGGUGUAGGGGAUCCCUAUGCGCCCCUCAUGGUGCUGAUGUGCCGGGUGUGCCUGGAAGACAAGCCCAUCAAGCCCCUGCCUUGCUGCAAGAAGGCCGUGUGCGAGGAGUGCCUCAAAGUCUACCUGAGCGCCCAGAUGGAGUCUCACUCUGUUGCCAGGCUGGAGUGCAGUGGCAUGAUCUCGGCUCAUGGAAACCUCCACCUCCCGGGUUCAAGCGAUUCUCCUGCCUCA
rnacentral:sRNA from 1 species